UUGGAUUCACCUGCAGCCUGGAGGGCUUGAACUCCCAAAUACCUCUGCUGCGUGCAAGCUACUGACUGUCAUUCACCUUUUGCCUUAUGGCCAAAGCUCUGUUUGCUGUAUUUCCAUAAGUGUAUCUGCUAUGUAGUGGGAAGAUUACUAGAAUACACAGUGUCAAGCCCAUGCAGCAGUCAGUCAAAGUACAAUCAAUCGAGGUUGUUGAAAGUUGGUGUUUCGUCGACAUUCUCAGUGGUGAAUUUCCAAGCCUUAAAGUUCAGAAGAGUGGUGGCACACGAUAAGAUUCCGGGGAGAGUCUCGUCGCUCUCAUUCUCAGAUUACCAAAGACCUGGAAGAUGGCUCCCGUGAACUCCGAUCCCUGAAUCUGCAUUGAGGG